rnacentral:lncRNA from 1 species
UAUAUGCAAAGGCCAACAGCACUUCACUUAUCCAGGGCUGAGUGAAACAGCAACCUCGGUUAUUUGGAACACUGUCCGAACCAGAAAAGGAGCAAAAAUAAACAGCACCCAAAACCAGAUGAAGAAACCAACAACCACCCUCAAAGCAAAACAAAAAAGACUGUUCAUGGCCAAAAUAAAUGACACCGAACUCACCCCCCACACACAGCUGAGGUAUUUACCCACAGGCCCCUCUCCUACCAUUGUCAAACCCUGGUAGCUGGACAUAGUUCUACUGGUAAACACCCCAGCCCAGCCCAGACUGUCGGAGCCAACCCUGGUCCUUCGCUGGGGGCGUACAGCAGUGUUCUUGGCUGGUCCUGCUUCGAGGCCUUCAGACAUCGUGCCAGGCUCUGUGCUAACAGUCACACGAGUUGAGCAUUACGCCCCUAUUUUACAG